rnacentral:rRNA from 1 species
GUGGGGAAUUUUGGACAAUGGGCGCAAGCCUGAUCCAGCAAUGCCGCGUGCAGGAAGAAGGCCUUCGGGUUGUAAACUGCUUUUGUACGGAACGAAACGGUCCUGGUUAAUACCCGGGGCUAAUGACGGUACCGUAAGAAUAAGCACCGGCUAACUACGUGCCAGCAGCCGCGGUAAUACGUAGGGUGCAAGCGUUAAUCGGAAUUACUGGGCGUAAAGCGUGCGCAGGCGGUGCUGUAAGACAGGCGUGAAAUCCCCGGGCUUAACCUGGGAAUGGCGCUUGUGACUGCAGUGCUGGAGUGUGGCAGAGGGGGAUGGAAUUCCGCGUGUAGCAGUGAAAUGCGUAGAUAUGCGGAGGAACACCGAUGGCGAAGGCAAUCCCCUGGGCCUGCACUGACGCUCAUGCACGAAAGCGUGGGGAGCAAACAGGAUUAGAUACCCUGGUAGUCC